rnacentral:rRNA from 3 species
AUGCCGCGGUGAAUACGUUCCCGGGCCUUGUACACACCGCCCGUCACACCACGGGAGUUUGCAACACCCGAAGUCGGUGAGGUAACCGCAAGGAGCCAGCCGCCGAAGGUGGGGUAGAUGACUGGGGUGAAGUCGUAACAAGGUAUCCGUACCGGAAGGUGCGGAUGGAUCACCUCCUUUCU